CCGGUUAUAUAGACUUAUAUAGCGCAGCAGGGGGAGAGAUAUAUAGAAGCUCUGCCGGGCAAGACAUUGGGGUGUAGCACCGGUGUGAGACCUGCCCUUUAAAAGGACCCAUGCACACUACGGAAUUUCCCACCCAGAGAUUCCUCAUGCAGCAGGUGCCAACAGAAUGAAUCAGCGAUAUAAAAGCCCCAACAUGUGCCAUCCCCAUUGAAGGCAAUGCAGUUCUGGGCAGAAUUCUGCAGAUGGAUUGCCAUGACAGAAAUUCUGCAGCGUGCAAAGUGCAGCAGAAUCACAUUGAAGACUGCUGCACUGAAAUCUCCGGAGGCGUACCUAAAGCUUAAAAAACUUCUGACAUGUCAAAAGAUUUAAUCGGUGAUGGUGUUGGUGCAGAGAACACGAUAGCUAAAAUGAACAUUCAGCAGUACCCGUCCCUGCAGGGCUCUACACUGAGAGCAGUGUACAGCUUAGAAAAA